rnacentral:rRNA from 1 species
AGAGUUUGAUCCUGGCUCAGGACGAACGCUGGCGGCGUGCUUAACACAUGCAAGUCGCGGGGGCGGAGCAAUCCGCCACCGGCGGACGGGUGCGUAACACGUGAGCAACCUGCCCCGAAGACUGGGAUAACACCGGGAAACCGGUGCUAAUACCGGAUAUCCCCAGACCCCCGCAUGAGGGACUGAGGAAAUGGAUUUCCGCUUCGGGAGGGGCUCGCGGCCUAUCAGCUUGUUGGUGAGGUAACGGCUCACCAAGGCUCCGACGGGUAGCUGGUCUGAGAGGACGAUCAGCCACACUGGGACUGAGACACGGCCCAGACUCCUACGGGAGGCAGCAGCGGGGAAUCUUGCGCAAUGGGCGAAAGCCUGACGCAGUAACGCCGCGUGGGGGAUGAAUGCCUUCGGGUUGUAAACCCCUUUCAGCAGGGACGAAAUUGACGGUACCUGCAGAAGAAGCCCCGGCCAACUACGUGCCAGCAGCCGCGGUAAUACGUAGGGGGCGAGCGUUGUCCGGAAUUAUUGGGCGUAAAGAGCUCGUAGGCGGUUUGGCAAGUCGGGUGUGAAAUCUCCGAGCUCAACUCGGAGAGGCCACUCGAGACUGCUAUGACUAGAGUCCGGUAGGGGACCAUGGAAUUCCUGGUGUAGCGGUGAAAUGCGCAGAUAUCAGGAGGAACACCGGUGGCGAAGGCGGGUCUCUGGGCAACAACUGACGCUGAGGAGCGAAAGCGUGGGGAGCGAACAGGAUUAGAUACCCCAGUAGUCC